GAUGAACGCUAGCGGCGGGCUUAAUACAUGCAAGUCGAACGGUAAGUUUGGUAGCAAUAUCAAACCAAGAGUGACGUACGGGUGCGUAACACGUAUGCAACCUACCUUGUACAGGAGUAUAGCUCGGGGAAACUCGAAUUAACCCUCCAUGAGAUCAUAGAAUGGCAUCAUUUAGUGAUUAAAACUCAGGUGGUACAAGAUGGGCAUGCGUCUGAUUAGUUAGNGGCGGGGUAAUGGCCCACCAAGACGAUGAUCAGUAGGGGACCUGAGAGGGUGA
rnacentral:rRNA from 1 species